UUAAGCGACUAAGCGUACACGGUGGAUGCCCUGGCAGUCAGAGGCGAUGAAGGACGUGCUAAUCUGCGAUAAGCGUCGGUAAGGUGAUAUGAACCGUUAUAACCGGCGAUUUCCGAAUGGGGAAACCCAGUGUGAUUCGUCACACUAUCAUUAACUGAAUCCAUAGGUUAAUGAGGCGAACCGGGGGAACUGAAACAUCUAAGUACCCCGAGGAAAAGAAAUCAACCGAGAUUCCCCCAGUAGCGGCGAGCGAACGGGGAGCAGCCCAGAGCCUGAAUCAGUGUGUGUGUUAGUGGAAGCGUCUGGAAAGGCGUGCGAUACAGGGUGACAGCCCCGUACACAAAAAUGCACAUAUUGUGAGCUCGAUGAGUAGGGCGGGACACGUGGUAUCCUGUCUGAAUAUGGGGGGACCAUCCUCCAAGGCUAAAUACUCCUGACUGACCGAUAGUGAACCAGUACCGUGAGGGAAAGGCGAAAAGAACCCCGGCGAGGGGAGUGAAAAAGAACCUGAAACCGUGUACGUACAAGCAGUGGGAGCACGCUUAGGCGUGUGACUGCGUACCUUUUGUAUAAUGGGUCAGCGACUUAUAUUCUGUAGCAAGGUUAACCGAAUAGGGGAGCCGAAGGGAAACCGAGUCUUAACUGGGCGUUAAGUUGCAGGGUAUAGACCCGAAACCCGGUGAUCUAGCCAUGGGCAGGUUGAAGGUUGGGUAACACUAACUGGAGGACCGAACCGACUAAUGUUGAAAAAUUAGCGGAUGACUUGUGGCUGGGGGUGAAAGGCCAAUCAAACCGGGAGAUAGCUGGUUCUCCCCGAAAGCUAUUUAGGUAGCGCCUCGUGAAUUCAUCUCCGGGGGUAGAGCACUGUUUCGGCAAGGGGGUCAUCCCGACUUACCAACCCGAUGCAAACUGCGAAUACCGGAGAAUGUUAUCACGGGAGACACACGGCGGGUGCUAACGUCCGUCGUGAAGAGGGAAACAACCCAGACCGCCAGCUAAGGUCCCAAAGUCAUGGUUAAGUGGGAAACGAUGUGGGAAGGCCCAGACAGCCAGGAUGUUGGCUUAGAAGCAGCCAUCAUUUAAAGAAAGCGUAAUAGCUCACUGGUCGAGUCGGCCUGCGCGGAAGAUGUAACGGGGCUAAACCAUGCACCGAAGCUGCGGCAGCGACGCUUAUGCGUUGUUGGGUAGGGGAGCGUUCUGUAAGCCUGCGAAGGUGUGCUGUGAGGCAUGCUGGAGGUAUCAGAAGUGCGAAUGCUGACAUAAGUAACGAUAAAGCGGGUGAAAAGCCCGCUCGCCGGAAGACCAAGGGUUCCUGUCCAACGUUAAUCGGGGCAGGGUGAGUCGACCCCUAAGGCGAGGCCGAAAGGCGUAGUCGAUGGGAAACAGGUUAAUAUUCCUGUACUUGGUGUUACUGCGAAGGGGGGACGGAGAAGGCUAUGUUGGCCGGGCGACGGUUGUCCCGGUUUAAGCGUGUAGGCUGGUUUUCCAGGCAAAUCCGGAAAAUCAAGGCUGAGGCGUGAUGACGAGGCACUACGGUGCUGAAGCAACAAAUGCCCUGCUUCCAGGAAAAGCCUCUAAGCAUCAGGUAACAUCAAAUCGUACCCCAAACCGACACAGGUGGUCAGGUAGAGAAUACCAAGGCGCUUGAGAGAACUCGGGUGAAGGAACUAGGCAAAAUGGUGCCGUAACUUCGGGAGAAGGCACGCUGAUAUGUAGGUGAAGUCCCUCGCGGAUGGAGCUGAAAUCAGUCGAAGAUACCAGCUGGCUGCAACUGUUUAUUAAAAACACAGCACUGUGCAAACACGAAAGUGGACGUAUACGGUGUGACGCCUGCCCGGUGCCGGAAGGUUAAUUGAUGGGGUCAGCGCAAGCGAAGCUCUUGAUCGAAGCCCCGGUAAACGGCGGCCGUAACUAUAACGGUCCUAAGGUAGCGAAAUUCCUUGUCGGGUAAGUUCCGACCUGCACGAAUGGCGUAAUGAUGGCCAGGCUGUCUCCACCCGAGACUCAGUGAAAUUGAACUCGCUGUGAAGAUGCAGUGUACCCGCGGCAAGACGGAAAGACCCCGUGAACCUUUACUAUAGCUUGACACUGAACAUUGAGCCUUGAUGUGUAGGAUAGGUGGGAGGCUUUGAAGUGUGGACGCCAGUCUGCAUGGAGCCGACCUGAAAUACCACCCUUUAAUGUUUGAUGUUCUAACGUUGACCCGUAAUCCGGGUUGCGGACAGUGUCUGGUGGGUAGUUUGACUGGGGCGGUCUCCUCCUAAAGAGUAACGGAGGAGCACGAAGGUUGGCUAAUCCUGGUCGGACAUCAGGAGGUUAGUGCAAUGGCAUAAGCCAGCUUGACUGCGAGCGUGACGGCGCGAGCAGGUGCGAAAGCAGGUCAUAGUGAUCCGGUGGUUCUGAAUGGAAGGGCCAUCGCUCAACGGAUAAAAGGUACUCCGGGGAUAACAGGCUGAUACCGCCCAAGAGUUCAUAUCGACGGCGGUGUUUGGCACCUCGAUGUCGGCUCAUCACAUCCUGGGGCUGAAGUAGGUCCCAAGGGUAUGGCUGUUCGCCAUUUAAAGUGGUACGCGAGCUGGGUUUAGAACGUCGUGAGACAGUUCGGUCCCUAUCUGCCGUGGGCGCUGGAGAACUGAGGGGGGCUGCUCCUAGUACGAGAGGACCGGAGUGGACGCAUCACUGGUGUUCGGGUUGUCAUGCCAAUGGCACUGCCCGGUAGCUAAAUGCGGAAGAGAUAAGUGCUGAAAGCAUCUAAGCACGAAACUUGCCCCGAGAUGAGUUCUCCCUGACUCCUUGAGAGUCCUGAAGGAACGUUGAAGACGACGACGUUGAUAGGCCGGGUGUGUAAGCGCAGCGAUGCGUUGAGCUAACCGGUACUAAUGAACCGUGAGGCUUAACCU
rnacentral:rRNA from 1 species